GAUUUCUUUUCUGUUUUUCUCUAUUAAAUAAUAGCCACAUUUGUCGAUCAGGACAUUUUGUUCUGCAUUUUGUUUCAGUGACGGGGAUGGUCGUUGUAUUUAGACUUUAUAUGGCCUGGGUUACCCAGCUCACAACAGAAACACCUGCACCAAAUUAUUUUGUUGUAGCACAUUAAUUAUCUCAUAGCUUCUAUUUAGGCUGCAGCUGUUGCUAUUAUGUUAAUAAUAAUUUUAUCACCACUGUAUACAACAGGUUAUGGGAAGAAUAGAAAUAUCUCUUUUAGGGGGGCUUCCCCCUUGUCAUUUCCAUUUUUCAAUGUCAGAAAGGGAAGACUGGAAGAAAAUCAGGCAAAUUAAGCCCCCAAAGCGCACUGUAAUUUUCUAUUUCUGAACGGAUUUGUAAGAGAAUGGCUGAGUGAAGUUAGCAGAGCAUCACCCCCCACACAAAGAUGGCGCGUGCAGAAUUUGUGAAAGCGAAAGAGGAAGAGGAAGGACAAGCAAGAGAGGACGGAGCACUGCAGAGCUGGGUGCAGCUGGAGUCCAGAAAUGAUUUUUUUUUCGACAAAUUUAGGAUUUUGCCGCAGCGUACAUCUGCAUUCCCAGAAUCCUCCGUAGCCAUUGAAAACUACUUCUUUAGGACGGUAAACCCAAGAAGGCCCAGAGAACACACACCUUCAAGCAUGAAGGAUGGUGGCAGUGUAACUAAAGGACCAGGCCACGGCCAUGGAGGUGGCCGUCACCUCCUGCCACCUUCACGAUCCCGCCUUUGCUCUGUAGUUGUACAUGCGCUGAGAGCUUUGCCCGGUGGCUCUGCGGAAUCCGCCCAGUGGGUUACUAGACGGCUUCUGUGUGGGAGAAAAAGCAACACACAGUCUGACAAGAGGUAUUUACAACUGCUUAGCCUGUUCAGCUGGAAAUUAACAAAAAAGAUGACAUAACCCUGACUCGAUGUUUUACAAAUCAAAAGUCUGGAUCCAUAAAUAGCCCACUUGACAAACGAAG
rnacentral:lncRNA from 1 species